rnacentral:rRNA from 1 species
GAAACCAACAGGGAUUGCCUCAGUAACGGCGAGUGAAGCAGUGCAACAGCUCAAAUUUGAAAUCUGGAGCCUUCGGCUUCCGAGUUGUAAUUUGAAGAGGGAUGUUUCGGGUGCGGCCCUGGGCCUAAGUUCCUUGGAACAGGACGUCAUGGAGGGUGAGAAUCCCCGUACAUGGCUGCAGGCUUGCUUCUAUGUGAAACUCCUUCGAAGAGUCGAGUUGUUUGGGAAUGCAGCUCAAAAUGGGUGGUAAAUUUCAUCUAAAGCUAAAUAUUGGCGGGAGACCGAUAGCGCACAAGUAGAGUGAUCGAAAGAUGAAAAGCACUUUGAAAAGAGAGUUAAACAGUAUGUGAAAUUGUUGAAAGGGAAGCGCUUGCAAUCAGACUCGCCUUCAGUUGAUCAGCCUUCCUUCUGGUUGGUGCACUCUGCUGUUGGCGGGCCAGCAUCAGUUGGGGCGGCGGGACAAAGGCAGCAGGAAUGUGGCUCGUUUCGGCGAGUGUUAUAGCCUGCUGUGUCAUGCCGCCAGCCCCGACUGAGGUCCGCGGUUCGCCUAGGAUGCUGGCUUAAUGGUUGUAAGCGACCCGUCUUGAAACACGGACCAAGGAGUCUAACAUCUAUGCGAGUCUUUGGGUGUAAAACCCAUGGGCGAAAUGAAAGUGAACGGAGGUGGGAGUCUUCGGAUGCACCAUCGACCGAUCCUGAUGUUCUCGGAUGGAUUUGAGUAGGAGCAUAGCUGUUGGGACCCGAAAGAUGGUGAACUAUGCCUGAAUAGGGUGAAGCCAGAGGAAACUCUGGUGGAGGCUCGCAGCGGUUCUGACGUGCAAAUCGAUCGUCAAAUUUGGGUAUAGGGGCGAAAGACUAAUCGAACCAUCUAGUAGCUGGUUCCUGCCGAAGUUCCCUCACUGG